rnacentral:rRNA from 1 species
GAGUUUGAUUCUGGCUCAGGAUAAACGCUGGCGGCGUGCCUAACCCAUGCAAGUCGAACGGUCCCGCAAGGGAUAGUGGCGGACGGGUGAGUAACACGUAGAAAUCUACCUCGCCGGAGGGAAUAACUCCUCGAAAGAGGAGCUAAUACCCAAAAGGAUCCGCAAGGAUCAGAGUCCGCAAGGGCCUGGCGAGAGGAGUCUGCGGCCCAUCAGCUAGUUGGUGGGGUAAUGGCCCACCAAGGCUACGACGGGUAGGGGGUCUGAGAGGAUGUCCCCCCACACUGGAACUGAAACACGGUCCAGACACCUACGGGUGGCAGCAGGGAGGAAUAUUGGACAAUGGGGGAAACCCUGAUCCAGCAACGCCGCGUGAGGGAUGAAGGCCUUCGGGCUGUAAACCUCUUUUCAGGGAGAAGAGAAAGGACGGUAUCCCUGGAAUAAGUCACGGCUAACUACGUGCCAGCAGCCGCGGUAAUACGUAGGUGGCGAGCGUUAUCCGGAUUUACUGGGCGUAAAGCGCUUGUAGGCGGCCUUGUAAGUUGGGCGUGAAAGCUCCGGGCUUAACCCGG